AUUUAAAGCCACUAAUUUUAUUUAAAGAAGAAAUACAAUUUUAAACAAAAUCCCCCAGUGAAUAACCUUUCUCCUAUUUUACCCUUUUUCUUAAAAGAUAGUUUUUCUUUGUUCACAACUUCAGUUUAACAGUCAUUUUCUCUGAGAACCAGAUGUUAGUUACCUUCUUGCUUCCAUUGUUGCUGCUGAACGUCUGCUUUCCAUUCAAUUUGAGAUUAAUCUGGCUUUUCUCUUCAAGUCCUUUUAAGACUUUUCUUUUGACUUUGGUAUUCUGCGGGUUCACUAGAGUUGUCUAAAUUUUUUAACCUCUGAAUUUUAUAUACUUUGCUUUUCAUAUUUGUGAACUCGUGUUUUUCAUAAGUUGUAGAAAAGUCUAAGACAUUUUCUUGUCUACACCAUUAUUUCUAGUGUGUUUUCCUGCGACUUCGACUGGGAGUAUACCAGCCUUUCUUAUUCUAUUCUGCAUACGUAUUAACUUCUCACAUGCAUCCUUGUCUCCCUAUACCAUAUGUGGGUACUAUGUUAGUCCAUUUUGCGUUGCUAUAAAAUAAUACCUGCAGCUGGGUAAUUCAUAAAGAAAAGAGGUUUAAUUGACUCACAGUUCUGUAGACUAUACAGGAAGCAUGGCACCAGCAUCUGUUUCUGGUAAGGGCUCAUGAAGCUCACAAUCAUGACCGAAGGUGAAGUGGGAGCAGACCUCUCACAUGACGAGAGAGGGAGCCAGAGAGAGGAAGGAGGUGCUAGGCUCUUUUAAACAACCAGAUCUCACGUGAACUCAGGGUGAAAACUCAUUCAUUAUUGGGAAGAUGGUACUAAGCCACUGAUGAGGGAUCUACCCCCAUGACGCCAACACCUUCCACUAGCCACAAUUCCAACAUUGGGAAACACAUUUCAACGUGAGAUUUUCAGGGGACUAACAUCCAAGCCAUUAUUCCCUCCCUGGCCCCUCAGAUCUCACAUCCUUCUCACAUUACAAAAUACAAUCAUUCCUUCCCAAUGGUCCCCAAAAGUCUCAACUCAUUUCAGCAUCAACUCAAAAAGUCCAAAGUCUCAUCUCAGACUCAAGGAAUGUUCCUGCCAACUGUGAGCCUGUAAAAUUAAAAUCAAGUUACUUACUUCCAAAAUACAAUGAUGGUAUAGACAUUGGGUAAAUAUUCCUACUCCAAAAGAGAGAAAUUGAUCAAAAGAAAGGAGAAACAAGCCCCACACAAGUCUGAAACCCAGUGAGGCAUUAAUCAAAUCUUAACACUCUAAAAUGGUCUCCUUUGAAUACAUUUCCCACAUCCAGGACACACUGGUACAAGAGGUGAACUCCCAAGGCCUUGGGCUGCUCCAAUCCUAUGGCUUUGCAGGAUACAGCCCCGCAGCUGCUCUCACAUGUUGGAAUUGAGUGCCUGUGGCUUUUCCAGGCUCAGAGUGCAUGCUGUCAACGAGUCUACCAUUGGGGGCUGGAGUGGCCCCAUUCCCAUAGCUCCAAUAAUCAGUGCCCCAAUGGGAACUCUGUGUGGAGGCUCCAACCCCACAUUUCCCCUUGGCACUGCCCUAACAAGGGCUCUCUACAGGGGCACCACCCCUGCAGCGGGCUUCUGCCUAAGCAAGCAAGUUUUCCGAUACAGCCUCUGAAAUCUAGGGGGAAGCUGCCAAGCCUCCUUCAUGCUUUCAUUCUGUGCACCUUUAGGCUUAACACCACAUGGAAACCACCAAGGCUUACAGCUUGCACCUUUUGAAGCAGUGGCCCAAGCUGUAUCUGAGGCCCUUUGAGCCAAGGCUGGAGCUGUAGCAGUUUGGAUGCAGGGAGCAGCAUCCCAAGGCUGCACAGGACAGUGGUGUUCCAGGCCUGGCCCCUGAAACCAUUCUUUGCUUUUAGGCCUCUGGGCCUGUGAUGGGAAGGGCUGUCCCAAAGACUUCUGAAAUAUCUUGGAGGCUUUUUUCCCAUUGUCUUGGAUAUUACCACCUGGCUCCCUUUUUGUUAGGCAAAUCUCUCUAGCAUUCCUUGCUCCAAAGGGUGCUUGCAUUUCUCUCCUGAAAAAGUGUUUCCUUUCUCUGCCACACGACUAGUCUGCAAUUUUUCCAAAUUUUUAUGCCCUGCUUUUCUUUUAAAUGUAAGUUCCAACUUUAAGUCAUUCCUUUGCUCCUAUUUGAUCCUAAGUUGUGAGGAGCAGCCAGCUUUGCUGCUUAGAAAUUUCUUCCACCAGAUACCAUAAGUCAUCACAGAUAAGUUCAACCUUCUACAGAUCCCUACGAUGCAGACAUAACGUAGCCAAGCCCUUUGCUAGGGUGUAACACAAGUGACUUUUACUCCAGUUCCCAAUAAAGUCCUCAUUUCCAUCUGAGACCUUGUCAGCCUGGCCAUCACUGCCCAUACAUGUAAUAACAUUUUGGUCACAAUUAUUUAACUAGUCACUAAGAAGUUCCAAACAUUCCCUUAUCUUCUUGUCUUCUUCUGAUCCUCCAAAAUCUUCAAUCUCUUCCCAUUGCUUCUGCAUUUUCAAGUAUCUAUAUAGCAAUGCUACACUCCUCAGCACCAAUUUUGUGUUUUAGUUCAUUUUCCAUUACUAGAAAAGAAUAUCUGAGAUGGGAUAAUUUAUAAAGAAAAAAGAUUUAAUUGGCUCACAGUUCUUCAGGCUGUACAGGAAGCAUGGUGCCAGCAUCUGCUUCUGGUGAGUGCCUCAGUAAGCUUACAGUGAUGGCAGAAGAUGAAAAGGGAUCAGGCAUAUAACAUGGCAAGAGAGGAAGCAAGAGAGGGAGGAGGUGCCAGUCUCUUUUAAACAACUUGAUCUCACAUAAACUCACAAAGUGAGAACUCAUUCAUUACUGUGAAGAUGGCACUAAGCCAUUCAUGAGGCCCCAUGACCCAAACACCUCCCACUAGGUACCAUCUCCAGCACUGAGGAUCACAUUUCAACAUGAGAUUUGGAGGAAACAAAUAUCCAAACCAUAUCAAGUAGUUUAUUUGAAUCUAUCUUUUAGUUCCCUCAUGCUCCCUUCAACAGUGUGUAAUGCCUUGUAUAACCCAUCUAGAGUCUAAUUUUCAGCAGUUACAUUUCAUAUUUCUAAAAAGUCAAUUUGAUUGGUCAUUCUUGAUAGCCUUUUGUUCUUUGCUCAAUUUUUAUUCAACUUCCUACUUAUUUAAAUGUAUACUAUACUAUGCUUAUAUUUGUGUUCUAUGUCUGAUCAUUCUAGUAACUAACCUCUUCAGUUGGGAUCUUAAACCAUCAUUGAUUUUGCUGAUUCUCACUCAUGGUUCCUUAUUUCAUUUUGUGUUUGAUGAUUUCCUUUUUUAUUGUGAGCUCAAAUUUUGUUGAACUGGACCUGUAGGACUAUCACUGUUACACAUUUGGAAUUUUUUAUUCUGGAGGAGAGUUGUAGGAUUAUCGUAGGACCACUUUAGCACUUUUAAGUUUCCAGCUUAAUGAAGGAGUGAGAGAUUCAUCCCCUUCAAUGUGUAGCAGCCACAGUUUAGCCUUUUGGUAUCAGCACUGGCAUUGACAUUUACUUUUAGGACUUCACUGAUCCUAGUGGUGAGAGACAGGACUAGCUGGAUUUCCUAGGCCAACUAAAAAUCCCUAAGCCUAGCUGGGAAGGUGACCGCGUCCAUCUUUAAACACGGGGCUUGCAACUUAGCUCACACCUGACCAGUCAGAGAGCUCACUAAAAUGCUAAUUAGGCAAAAACAGGGGGUAAAGAAAUAGCCAAUCAUCUUUCGCCUGAGAGCACAGCAGACGGACAAUGAUCGGGAUAUAAACCCAGGGAUUUGAGCCGGCAAUAGCUACCUCUUUGGGUCCUCUCUUUUUGUAUGGGAGCUCUGUCUUCACUCUAUUAAAUCUUGCAACUGCACUCUCUUUUGUUCCGUGUUCCUUACGGCUCGAGGUGAGCUUUCACUUGCUGUCCACCACUCCUGUUUGCGCUUUCGCAGACCCACCGCUGACUUCCAUCCCUCCAGAUCUGGCAGGGUGUCCGCUGUGCUCCUGAUCCAUCGAGGCGCCCAUUGCCACUCCCGAUCGGGCUAAAGGCUUGCCAUUGUUCCUGCAUGGCUAAGUGCCUGGGUUCGUCCUAAUAGAGCU
ensembl:lncRNA novel transcript